rnacentral:rRNA from 1 species
UUUCCAGAGAUGGAUUGGUGCCUUCGGGAACGCUGAGACAGGUGCUGCAUGGCUGUCGUCAGCUCGUGUUGUGAAAUGUUGGGUUAAGUCCCGNAACGAGCGCAACCCUUAUCCUUUGUUGCCAGCGAUUCGGUCGGGAACUCAAAGGAGACUGCCGGUGAUAAACCGGAGGAAGGUGGGGAUGACGUCAAGUCAUCAUGGCCCUUACGAGUAGGGCUACACACGUGCUACAAUGGCGCAUACAAAGAGAAGCGACCUCGCGAGAGCAAGCGGACCUCAUAAAGUGCGUCGUAGUCCGGAUCGGAGUCUGCAACUCGACUCCGUGAAGUCGGAAUCGCUAGUAAUCGUGGAUCAGAAUGCCACGGUGAAUACGUUCCCGGGCCUUGUACACACCGCCCGUCACACCAUGGGAGUGGGUUGCAAAAGAAGUAGGUAGCUUAACCUUCGGGAGGGCGCUUACCACUUUGUGAUUCAUGACUGGGGUGAAGUCGUAACAAGGUAGGCGUAGCGAG